UUAGCCUCAAGAAAGUCAAGCGGAAUGGUAGAUAUGCUUCUUUGGGCUUUCCUCCUGUUCCUUCUUCAUCUUUCAGGCUGCUACUCAGAGGUGAAGUUGGUGGAGACUGGAGGAGGUGUUGUAGUCCCUGGAGGUUCCCUCCGCCUAAUCUGUAAAGCAUCUGGAUUCAACUUUACUGGCUAUACAAUGCACUGGAUCCGUCAGUCUCCAGGAAAAGGAUUGGAGUGGGUGGCUGGUGUAAGCCAACCAGAAGGAACUAAACAAUGGUAUAACUCUAAAGUGGAGGGAAGAUUCACUGUCUCUAGGGACAAUUCACAGACUUCAGCUUAUCUCCAGAUGAACAACUUGAAGCCUGAAGACUCUGCCUUGUAUUAUUGUGCAAGGCGCACAGUGAUUCCAUCUGCUUUCCUCCUUGUACAAUUUCUCUAUGGGUCUCUUGCAAGGAGAAGCCGAGAGCAAAAAGCAGAAACAUUCAGCCUUCUUUAA